rnacentral:misc_RNA from 1 species
UUUCCGUAGGUGAACCUGCGGAAGGAUCAUUAUUGAAUAACCGAGGUUCGAGGUCUGUCUCUGACCCGUAAGGUCGCGCACGCACGAGUGCCCCCCCACUCAUCCAUCUCACCCCUAUGUGCAUCACCGCGCGGUUCUCCCUUUUACCUGCCUGUAGGGUAGCUAAUGUUUUCAUUCAUACUAUGUAUUAAGUGCAGAACGUCAUUUAUUUUUUUCUGAUCACGCCAUCAAUAUAACUUCUAACAACGGAGCUCAAGGCUCUCGCAUCGAUGAGCACAC